rnacentral:ncRNA from 2 species
AUGAUUAUAGGUGAUGGAGUUCGCCAUUAACUGCCGUAAAGGCUGAUAACUCCUACUAAAAA